rnacentral:ncRNA from 2 species
AUUCCCAUAUGUAACUGGCGCAACAUGGAUUACCAUGAGGGAGCAUAUGGAUUAUGAGCCGCGCGCCUGGGCAAGCACU